ACCUCGGCAGCUCCCCAGGCAACGCCAGCCGCUCCCGCGCCACAGCCUUGGCUGCCGGGCCAGGGGCAGAAGAAGCGCCCUCCAAUGCAGCGGCACAGCCCGAUUCCAACCCUUCAAACGCUGCGAGAGCUGCAGCUUCCUUCAAUUCAACCCCCGGAACUUACGCCACACUCAGAACACAGGGAUUCGCUGCCACCCCGGGAUACCCCUAACACCCUGGAAAAGGCAUGUUUUCCUUCAAUCAAGACCCUCAAAACCACGAGUGCACGGGAAUCCCACCCAGUUCAAACACAGGCAAUAAUGGAAGAGAAGUUGCUUCCCUCAUUUUGAAUUUC